rnacentral:rRNA from 1 species
UACGUAGGGUGCGAGCGUUAAUCGGAAUUACUGGGCGUAAAGCGUGCGCAGGCGGCUUUGCAAGACAGAUGUGAAAUCCCCGGGCUCAACCUGGGAACUGCAUUUGUGACUGCAAGGCUAGAGUACGGCAGAGGGUGGUGGAAUUUCCUGUGUAGCGGUGAAAUGCGUAGAUAUGCGGAGGAACACCAAUGGCAAAGGCAAUCCCCUGGGCCUGUACUGACGCUCAUGCACGAAAGCGUGGGGAGCAAACAGG